UCUCAAACCCCUCAGUUCAAGGGAUCCUCCCGCCUUGGCCUCUCAAGAGUGCUGGGAUUACAGGUGAGAGCCACUGUGCCCAGCAAAGUCUUCUUGAAAAAGGAAAAUGCUACAGAAAUGCAAGGAACUAGUUUUAAGAAUACCCUGAAUAAUUUUCCUUCAUUUUAGUUCUCACCACAGGGGACGUCUACGUUUCCUACCUAUCGAUCUCCCAGCUCAUCUUCCUGUAUUGAGUGUCUCUUCUCCGUUUCACCCUCUUCUCUAUUUUAAGCGGAAACUGCCUUAGCUGCCUCACAUCACUUCCUUUCCAAAAACCCUAGUCCCAUACAGCCUGAAAAAAAAACGCUCAGACUUGGCUUUGGAAGGAUCUGAGCCCUUGGGCGCUGCUGGCACCAGUGUCUGGCAUACCUCCCCAAGUGUGUGGACGCUGAAGACAAGCCCCCGCAGUGCGGGCCUCAUGACUGCCUCCAGUGCAAGGAGAGGCCAUUGUACCGAAGGCCACAGAGAUCAAGUUCUGGCCUUUCCCCUAAAUCAUGCUGUCCUUAUUUCAAGGGCCAAGAGCUAUUUAGAGCUCAAAUUACCUCACCAGUCCUGGGGGGAGCGCUUCCUGCUUCAGAUGAAGUCUCCCUGCAGAGCCCAGAGUGGCGAUCUGUACCUAUGUAAAGUCUGCCUAGUUGUCCGCAGACAAAUUGGAACAAGCAGAUUAUGAAAUGCCAGUAUCACCUGUAGAUACAGUAGCUCGACCACAUUUGGAACACGUCCAGAUGUUCUCUGCCAGUGAAAAACUAAGUUAGAGGGAAACCCUUUAGCUCUAAAAAGUCUGCUCAAAAGAAAGGUUGUUCUGAACACCUUAAAUCAGAAUUUUAAAAAAUUAUUUAACCUUUAGAUCAAAAUUACUUACAUGAGAAUUAAUCUGUUAUUUUUAAAUUAAAAUAAGAGACCCUCACCAUACUAGUUUUAAAGGUGAAAAGAUAACUUUUUAAAAGAAGAAAAGUUAUUCUAAUAGUGUCUAAAAAGAUUUAAUCAAGGCAGAAUAACUAUUCAAUGUGGGAAGAUAUGGGAUCUGUAUCAUUUGGGAAGGGAGGUAACAUUUUUCAAAACAGUCAUUAAAUUUGUUGUUUUUUAAAUAGAGAUAGGGUCUCA